rnacentral:SRP_RNA from 1 species
GCCAGGCAUGGUGGUAUAUACCUGUAGUCCUAACUACUUGGGAGGCUGAGAUGGCAGGAUUGCUUGAGCCCAGGGGUUUGAGGUUGCAGUGAGCUAUGAUAGCACCACUGCAGUCUAGCCUGAGCAACAGAGCAAGAUCCUAUCUCUA